AGUGAACGCUGGCGGUAGGCCUAACACAUGCAAGUCGAACGGCAGCACAGUAAGAGCUUGCUCUUACGGGUGGCGAGUGGCGGACGGGUGAGGAAUACAUCGGAAUCUACUUUUUCGUGGGGGAUAACGUAGGGAAACUUACGCUAAUACCGCAUACGACCUACGGGUGAGAGCAGGGGAUCUUCGGACCUUGCGCGAUUGAAUGAGCCGAUGUCGGAUUAGCUAGUUGGCGGGGUAAAGGCCCACCACGGCGACGAUCCGUAGCUGGUCUGAGAGGAUGAUCAGCCACACUGGAACUGAGACACGGUCCAGACUCCUACGGGAGGCAGCAGUGGGGAAUAUUGGACAAUGGGCGCAAGCCUGAUCCAGCCAUACCGCGUGGGUGAAGAAGGCCUUCGGGUUGUAAAGCCCUUUUGUUGGGAAAGAAAAGCAGCAGGUUAAUACCCCGCUGUUCUGACGGUACCCAAAGAAUAAGCACCGGCUAACUUCGUG
rnacentral:rRNA from 1 species